ACGGGAGCAAUCCUGGUGGCGAGUGGCGAACGGGUGAGUAACAUAUCGGAACGUGCCCAGUCGUGGGGGAUAACGCAGCGAAAGCUGUGCUAAUACCGCAUACGAUCUCUGGAUGAAAGCGGGGGACCUGCAAGGGCCUCGCGCGAUUGGAGUGGCCGAUAUCAGAUUAGCUAGUUGGUGGGGUAAAAGCUCACCAAGGCGACGAUCUGUAGCUGGUCUGAGAGGACGACCAGCCACACUGGAACUGAGACACAGUCCAGACUCCUACGGGAGGCAGCAGUGGGGAAUUUUGGACAAUGGGCGCAAGCCUGAUCCAGCAAUGCCGCGUGCAGGAUGAAGGCCUUCGGGUUGUAAACUGCUUUUGUACGGAACGAAACGGUCCUUUCUAAUAUAAGGGGCUAAUGACGGUACUGUAAGAAUAAGCACCGGCUAACUACGUGCCAGCAGCCGCGGUAAUACGUAGGGUGCGAGCGUUAAUCGGAAUUACUGGGCGUAAAGCGUGCGCAGGCGGUUUUGUAAGACAGAUGUGAAAUCCCCGGGCUCAACCUGGGACCUGCAUUUGUGACUGCAAAGCUAGAGUACGGUAGAGGGGGAUGGAAUUCCGCGUGUAGCAGUGAAAUGCGUAGAUAUGCGGAGGAACACCGAUGGCGAAGGCAAUCCCCUGGACCUGUACUGACGCUCAUGCACGAAAGCGUGGGGAGCAAACAGGAUUAGAUACCCUGGUAGUCCACGCCCUAAACGAUGUCAACUGGUUGUUGGGUCUUUACUGACUCAGUAACGAAGCUAACGCGUGAAGUUGACCGCCUGGGGAGUACGGCCGCAAGGUUGAAACUCAAAGGAAUUGACGGGG
rnacentral:rRNA from 1 species